AGUACGCAUCUUUAGCGCUUUCCGUUCAGUGUCGCCGUUCUCACUUUUUUUUUUUUUAAUAGAUUUUUAUAUGACACACAUAAUUACAGAAACUUUAGCGUUUUGUUAAAACUCUCGAGACCAUGGUUACUGAAAGAGUUAUUCUGGAUGUCGCACAAUUUCGCCUUUUAAAUAUACUGUUAUGAACUUAUAACGCUAGAAUUCGUUGCAUUUGUUAUUAUGGAUUUCUGCGGUAUGGCAAUACGUUUAACAUGACGUGACACUUGUGCUGUGUUGCUCUCCAAGGAAACCGAUGCUCAGAGAACCAGCACUAAUGUUCUACUACUACUUAUUGGAAAUUGUCAGAACAUGAUGGAUGUGGAUCAUCAUGCUUUGCAGAAGGCUGGGGAGAAGUUUGCAUUCAUUUUAUAAAAAGCUGAAACCACUCCUCUGAAUUGGUGACAGUCUUUCAAGAACCCCCAUGAUCCAGCGUCCCUCCCAAUGGUACAACCUGUCAGCCCUGAACAUGGAGAGUUAUAAGGGGAAAACUUAGCGAUACGGUGACCUUGAUGAUAGUGUGACAGUCAUCGGUGAAGAACUUUGUUCCACCUGGAGGAGAUGAAGAUAUUUAGGUCCAUGUAAAUAAGCCCAUUUAGGUGCCGCUAGCAUCAGCUCAUGCUAAAAUAAAGACUGUUUUUGGAGGACGCAAUGGGCUUGCAUGAGACAAGUACUCCCAGAGAAGAGGAGGACACACCCCGGACAGGUUUAG